CACCCAUCAACACAAAGUUUGUGCACUUCCCCAAAUCUUUUGCCAUCAAUUCUCCUCCAAUCUUUACAGGGAGGAAAAAUGAUCCUGUGGUUAAUCUUGGUGUCCUUACUAGCAGUCCUCAGAGGUGUCCGAUCUCAGAUCCAGUUGAUGGAGUCUGGAGGAGAUGUGAGAAGGCCUGGAGAGUCCCUCCAUCUUUCCUGCCAAGGUUCUGGAUUCACCUUCAGCAGCUAUCACAUGAACUGGGUGAGACAGGCUCCAGGGAAAGGUCUGGAAUGGGUUGCACGAAUCUAUACUGAUUCUAGUGGAAAGUUCUACUCAGACAAAUUGAAGGGCCGCUUCACCAUCUCCAGGGACAAUGCCAAAAGCCAGCUGUAUCUGCAAAUGAACAGCCUGAAAGCUGAAGACACGGCAGUCUAUUACUGUGCGAGAGACACAGUGAGAGGAAGUGAAUCUGAAGCUUGGCAAAAACUGCCCGUUUCACAAAGCAGCUCUAUAAAUUCCACUGGAACCUUAGCAUGCCACCCUUGGUCAUCUUGUACUCCAGUGGGCACUAAUCUCACACUGCUGCAAGGGUGGAGCAAGGCAUGGAAAUAA